UAUCUACUCCCUUUAUUCUGAAUUACUUGUCGCAGAUAUGGAUGUAUCUAGAUGUAUUUUAGUUUUAGAUACAUCUAUUUCUGCGACGAGUAAUUUGAAACAGAGAAAGUAUUAG
rnacentral:pre_miRNA from 1 species